rnacentral:rRNA from 1 species
GAUGAACGCUGGCGGCGUGCCUCAUACAUGCAAGUCGAGCGAACUGAUUAGAAGCUUGCUUCUAUGACGUUAGCGGCGGACGGGUGAGUAACACGUGGGCAACCUGCCUGUAAGACUGGGAUAACUUCGGGAAACCGAAGCUAAUACCGGAUAGGAUCAUCUCCUUCAUGGGAGAUGAUUGAAAGAUGGUUUCGGCUAUCACUUACAGAUGGGCACGCGGUGCAUUAGCUAGUUGGUGGGGUAACGGCUCACCAAGGCACCGAUGCAUAGCCGACCUGAGGGGGUGAUCGGCCACACUGGGACUGAGACACGGCCCAGACUCCUGCGGGAGGCAGCAGUAGGGAAUCUUCCGCAAUGGACGAAAGUCUGACGGAGCAACGCCGCGUGAGUGAUGAAGGCUUUCGGGUCGUAAAACUCUGUUGUUAGGGAAGAACAAGUACAAGAGUAACUGCUUGUACCUUGACGGUACCUAACCAGAAAGCCACGGCUAACUACGUGCCAGCAGCCGCCGUAAUAC